rnacentral:rRNA from 1 species
GACGAACGCUGGCGGCGUGCUUAACACAUGCAAGUCGAGCGGUAAGGCCCCUUCGGGGGUACACGAGCGGCGAACGGGUGAGUAACACGUGAGCAAUCUGCCCUUCACUUUGGGAUAACCCUCGGAAACGAGAGCUAAUACCGAAUACGACCACUUCCCGCAUCGGAUGGUGGUGGAAAGUUCCGGCGGUGAAGGAUGAGCUCGCGGCCUAUCGGCUUGUUGGUGGGGUAAUGGCCCACCAAGGCUUCGACGGGUAGCCGGCCUGAGAGGGUGACCGGCCACACUGGGACUGAGACACGGCCCAGACUCCUACGGGAGGCAGCAGUGGGGAAUAUUGGACAAUGGGCGAAAGCCUGAUCCAGCAACGCCGCGUGAGGGAUGACGGCCUUCGGGUUGUAAACCUCUUUCAGCAGGGACGAAGCGCAAGUGACGGUACCUGCAGAAGAAGCACCGGCCAACUACGUGCCAGCAGCCGCCGUAAAAC